UACGAAGGGGGCUAGCGUUGUUCGGAAUCACUGGGCGUAAAGGGCGCGUAGGCGGUGUGUCAAGUCAGGCGUGAAAGCCCCGGGCUCAACCUGGGAACCGCGCUUGAGACUGGCACGCUAGAGUUCGGGAGAGGAUGGUGGAAUUCCCAGUGUAGAGGUGAAAUUCGUAGAUAUUGGGAAGAACACCGAUGGCGAAGGCAGCCAUCUGGACCGACACUGACGCUGAGGCGCGAAAGCGUGGGGAGCAAACAGG
rnacentral:rRNA from 1 species